rnacentral:rRNA from 1 species
GACGAACGCUGGCGGCGUGCUUAACACAUGCAAGUCGAACGAAGUGGCGAACGGGUGAGUAAUACGUGAGUAACCUGCCCUCCUUUUUGGGAUAAGCCUUGGCAACGGGGUCUAAUACCGAAUAAAGGGGGAUGGGCUCGCGGCCUAUCAGCUUGGUGGUGGGGUGAUGGCCUACCAAGGCGGUGACGGGUAGCCGGCCUGAGAGGGUGACCGGCCACAUGGGGACUGAGGUACGGCCCAGCCUCCUACGGGAGGGAGCAGUGGGGGAUAUUGCACAAUGGGCGAAUGCCUGAUGCAGCGACGCCGCGGGGAGGAUGAAGGCUUUCGGGUUGUAGGCCUCGUUCGCUGUCGAACGGGUAGGUGGAGAGAAAGCGCCGGCUAACUACGUACCAGCCGCCGCGGUAAUUC